ensembl:lncRNA
UUUAAGACUGUGGAGAGGCUGGCUAGGAGUGGUGAUAAGCCAGGUCCAUUCCAUUCAGGCAGUCCAUACAUGUCCAUCAUGAGACGUGACUGCAGCAGAAACCUGAGAAUCAGCCAGGAACCAGGUACACCAAAACCAAGGUCAAUAGGGCUCCUGUGCAGAGGGUGUCCCAGGUGAGGCCAGUUAUAGGAAUUAAACCUGAUAGAAAUAUUAGUACAAUCAAUCUGCAUGUUUUAGUUCAUUCUCAGUCCUUCCCACCUCUUAUUCAUCUCCUGGUUAUUUGUUGUGCUGAGGUUAAUUUCCUUCUGGGCUGCCUUUAGGAGUAAGGCAUUGAGUUCCUGCUGAAGUCAAGCCCAGGUGCAGUGCUGGAAUUGGCUUGCUGCAGGGACUGCUGAACAAAGGAUAUGAGCUGACCUUCCAAUGGUUUUGCAGCUUUCUUUCUGCAAAGUCCACCAGUGUCAACCCAGGAGGCUACUGGUAGAUUAAAGGCAUUCAGAGAUGCCCAUUUAUCCCUUCUGCCCAUAGAUCAUAGAUCAGUUCUUUCUUCUUUCUGGAAGAAAUGGUAAAUAGUGCAGAAGUUAAUUUGUGGAUAAUACUAAACCAGGUGUUUUGAAUGUCUUGCUUCCACAGAUCAGUUUCAGCUGUCCAUCUUAGCAGUAUUGCUGCACCUGAUCCUAGCAUUGGUCUUCUGUUGAUGUGACCACAUAGCUCAGCAUAUCAAUAGAAUAUACAUAAGCUGUUCACCAGUGGUUUAGUCAUGUACAAAUGAUCCUCCCCAGGGUGACUUUCAUCUAUGAUAAAGAUUUAACCUUUAAUUUUUGAAGGUUUUUCUUGUUCCCUGGCUCAUCUUGGAGGCAGAAGAUAAUGGAAAAUAACUUCUAUCCAUACUCUGUGUAAACAGUGUUUUAAUAAUAGCUUAAAACAACCAGUUUUUGAUUCUAUCUUUGCAAGCCUGUGACGUUGCUAGUGUUUCUGACAGUAACAAGUUUUGAUAGCUAAAACAAAUAACAUUUGGUAACAUUUAACUUAAUAGUCCCUUUAAUGUAGUCUUGUCAUGGAACUAAACUUGUUUGUUGAUAAAUGGAACCAUCAGAGACAGAAAUUUCCCCUGUGAGCUGCUUUAUUUUUAAUCAUUUCUUCAGUGCCUCAUGAUGGACAACUGUAGUGCUUAUUGUGCAUUGUAUUUAUUUCCAGCUUUGCUGUCACAGAUGCCUUGCCAUUGCUAAUUUAAUUUGGUGCAUAAUUUGUAUGUGGUAUUUUAAACCAUGGAAAUAUUAAAUUUGUUGCAACGUAGUAACGUGUGAUGUCUGUAAAGUGUAUGGCAAACUGGGGUAGAUGCAGGUAAUUCUAUGUAUAUGGUUGUUUUGAAACUCUGACUGUAAGUUUAAAAAUAUCCUGUGCAACGGAAAUAAAAUGCAGUGUACUUCC